rnacentral:rRNA from 1 species
GACGAACGCUGGCGGCGUGCUUAACACAUGCAAGUCGAACGGAAAGGCCCUGCUUUUGUGGGGUGCUCGAGUGGCGAACGGGUGAGUAACACGUGAGUAACCUGCCCUUGACUUUGGGAUAACUUCAGGAAACUGGGGCUAAUACCGGAUAGGAGCUCCUGCUGCAUGGUGGGGGUUGGAAAGUUUCGGCGGUUGGGGAUGGACUCGCGGCUUAUCAGCUUGUUGGUGGGGUAGUGGCUUACCAAGGCUUUGACGGGUAGCCGGCCUGAGAGGGUGACCGGCCACAUUGGGACUGAGAUACGGCCCAGACUCCUACGGGAGGCAGCAGUGGGGAAUAUUGCACAAUGGGCGGAAGCCUGAUGCACCAACGCCGCGUGCGGGAUGACGGCCUUCGGGUUGUAAACCGCUUUCGCCUGUGACGAGGCGUGAGUGACGGUAAUGGGUAAAGAAGCACCGGCUAACUACGUG